GUCCUAUCGAAAUUCUUUUCAAGUUCGCAGCAACCCUAAUUUCUAAGACUUUGCACCCUCUCUUCUUCGUUCUUUUGAACGUUCAUCACUAUCUUCAACCAUGCGGUUCUUCACAUCGCCGGUCUCUAAUUCUUCUCUUUCGUCGUUCAUCAUUUCUGGUGACCAAUCCAUCACUUCUCAAGUUCUUCUUCAGGUUUUUCUCUCGCCUCUACGUUAAAUGAGGAAACCUAAACAUUUUGAUUUUCCCUGUCUCUUUCCUGAUUCGAAUAUUGGACUACAGCAGACACUAUUUGCGCCCAAGCUCACUUUUCCUUCCUUUCCUUCUUCCUCUUCUCUAUUGCGUUAAUUUCUACGGCUCCUUCGACUCCAAUUUCAUGGCGUUGCACUCCUCUUAUUGCGAUGUCUAGUUUCGCCGUGAGAGCUGAUUCCAACCUCGAAGACAAUGGUGAAAUCACCGAAGAUGUUCCUUCCGAUAAUGUUGACGACGUUUCGAAAGGCGAAACAGAACAACUUUCGGAUUCUGAAAAUUUCCCCAAAAAGCCAGAGUCAAGCUUGGAGUCGUUUUGGGGGAAGGGUUAGAUGAUAUCGUAAGGUAUGGCACAGAGGAGUUAUUUGCUAUGAAAAUGAUGAAGCAAGCAAGUCUAGCCAGAUUCAUUAUGAUGAUGAUGCUAUAGACAGGUAAUAAAAAGCUUUGAUUCGUGGUGUAUAUUAUGGUUAAAUUUCUAAGAAUUAGUUUCAUUUUCCUCUUUAUAAUAAAUUGCUGGAUCGUGUUGGUUUGGAUGGUGAAGAUGAAGAUGGAUUUCUGAAGGCUUUUAAGGUUUACUCUAUCAUAUAAUUUUGCAUAUGCUUUUGUGCUCCCACUCUUUGUUCCAUCUCAACUGUUGCACUUUCAAAAACUUUCAAUGACAAACUUGGAUACGUAUAUCUCAUUUAAAAGAAAUUGGUAGCAGUCUAUGCCUUUAUAAGUUUGCAUAAAUUUGUAGUUAGCUAUGCUUUUGUGAUCUUUCAAUUAAAAUCCUUUUGAUAGAAAUAGGCUCAAGAAUUUCUAUAUUCCAUAAAUAACUUCCACUUGCGGAAAAUAAGUGCUUAUGAAACCUGAUACUAAACAAUAAAUAUCAUCUAUGUUUAUUUUUAUUGAUGCUAAUAACUGGUCUAAUUAAAAAACACAACAAUCUCAUACAUAAGUCAUAACUGUCUUUUGUUGGAGGAGCAUUCAACCUCUGUUACUUUCCACGUUCUCUUCAUCUAUAAAUAAUAGCUCAGAAUCUCCUUGUCCCCAUUCUUUCAGAUUCUUUGCUUUAUUGAAUUAACAUAUUCUAUGCUAAAGGUGGCAAAUUUCGAAUACAUAGACGAAGUUAAGCCAGCAGAGGAGGUGCCACAAAAAGAAUCAGAGGUGAAUCAAUCCUCUGCUGCCAAUUUGAAGAAAUUAGCUUACUGGGAUGGCUUGUUGAAAAGAGGAUAUGAACAGUGUAGAAUAGAAGAAUUAGAUGCCUUAGGCAAAGGGAAGCGAACCCGCACCAAAUGGCUGGAAAGUCAUGCACGAGUUUUUGCUGCUAACGAGUAUUAAUUGGAGCGAAGACCAGUUUUUGCUGCUAACAAGUAUUCAAUUGUUCUAAUGCUGGUUUCGAUUCUAAGGACUACACGCCUAAAAUGAGAAUAGAUAUUUAUUGGUUAUCCAAUAACAACUUAGAAAUGGGUAAAAGAUAGGUCCAACAACUCUUUUAGCAUAGACUCUGAGACAAUUUCAGAAAGUAGACUUUUAAGCUUAAGUUAACCUCAACAAACCAGAAUGAAAUAUGGAGUUUAUAUUCAUUUAUAUAAAAUAAUUUGGUCAUAUCUCUCACAAUGGAAUUUUUACCAUUACAAAUGUGUUCAUUUUUGUUUCUUAUUUUAGUUGUGUAUUUAAGGUUGUAUCUUGUUGAUGAUUUUCCCAAUUCCCCUAUGAUUUCUCUCUAGGGGGAAGGUUGUAGUAACUGGGGAGAUCUAAGCUCCGAUGAUGAAAAUUAUGAAGCGGAUCAUAGUGAAGAUGAUUCAAAUUCAUUCGAGACUCCUACUCCUAAUAGAAGGGGAAAGAAAAUUCGUGCAGGGAUCCCAGAGCCACUUCCUUUAAUGGAAGGUCAAGGAAAAUCGUUGAAAGUACUUGGCUUUAGUCAAAAUCAAAGGGCUGAUUUUCUUUAAAUUUUAAUGAGGUUUGGGGUUGGUGAUUAUGAUUGGAAACAGUUUGCUCCCAGGAUGAAACACAAGAGUUAUGAAGAAAUCACGGAGUAUUAAUCUGACAUUUUCCAUUUACUUUUUGCAUUAUUUAAUGCUUUGCUUGUUUUUAAUGUUAUUGAUCUUGAAGCUUUUAUUGUAUCCGUUUUUUCUUUGUGGGGGGAAUUAUAUGACAAUCGAACCCAUAUGAAUACUAAAAUUCUGGCAUUUAAUGAUAAGAAUAUUGUGUAUAUGUAUACUCAGGUAACAAAAUAACCGUAACAUGAUAGUAUUGCUUACUAGUUGAUUGCGUAAGUUUUAUUUUUUUUUAUAAUCUUAUUACUUUUCACAUAUUUGAACAUUAUUUGAUAAUCUAUUUAUUGUCUUUAUAUAUUCUUCAUUACUUGUCUAUAAAUACUCAUACCUUUUGAACAGGUAUGGCAAACUUCUUGUCUCAUAUUGCAGAAGAUAUUAUUGAUUCACCAACAUUCACAUGUACUAGAUUCUUAUUCCUCUGAUAUUUUGUCAGUUUCUUUCGUAUUCUCCCGUGUGCUUUCAGUUUACUUAUUUUACCUCUUUGCUCGUUAGAUUUCAUGGGAAAAUUAAGAGUUUUGUGAAAUCUUUGAUAUUUGAUAUAUGUUAAGUUCUUACAAAGUUGUUUUGCCACUUCUGACUAUGAUAUACUUGUAAGGAUUGCACUUCUGACUAUGAUAUCAGAUAAAGUAAGUUCUUUCUUUAUUUUUUUUCGGAUUCUAAGCUUUUUAUUGCUUGUAUUUAACAUAGUCCAAAUGAGAAACAAUCCAAACCAUGGAAUUGAAUGCUCUUAUGCUAAUGAAGUUAAUCUCCUUUCUGUUCUUGAUGCUUUUGUUUGUAUUUUCAGGCAUAUAGGUUCAGGAAUUACUAGAAAGAUAUUGAUCAAAUACCUACGUGCCUUUAAUUGCUUUAAAAUUCUAUAAUAUUUAAAUGUUAGUAAAUUGUAGAAACUUGACUACAAUGUAGUGUAGGUUAAUAUUAUAUUUGGAUUAAAUUAUGUAUUAAAUAUUA